CCUGAUUUUCGUUUUUGUGGCUUUCAGAGUAAAAGUUUAGGUGUUCUUUUUUUUUUUAAGAAAAGUCCUAAAUAAUUGGUAUGAAAUUUGCUCAGUAGUCAAGAAAUUUAGAAAGCUUGUUAACAUGGACACUCCACAAGGAAAUCAGUUGACUUUUGUGCAAUUGAUUGGAAAAGAAUUCGAAAAUGAGGAGGUCUAUAUAUCUAGGGAUUUGAGUGUCGGGCACACGUAGCCAAUGUAAUCAACAGCUGUAAUCAAGGUCCACACAUGCAGAGCCACAAAUUACUGCACACAAGUCAAGCCUUAUAAAUUGUACACUCCAUCCAUAAUAAUCCUCUUCCACUCAACCACCUAGAACGCUGUCCCAAGUGCCCAAGGGGUAGCAACGGAAGGCGGAGGCGAGAAAGAAAAAAGUGCGUCACUUAAAAGUUUUGCACUCACUUGACCAGAAACUUUUAUUUUCUGUUAGGAAAUUUCCCACGGGUGCCCAAAAGCCAGUAACAAAAUUCAUAUUUAAUUUUAGUAGAGCUGCGACGUCACAAAUCUCAGAGGUAAUCAAACAGAUUGAGAGCCGCAUUUUGUUCAAUUUCAUUUGGCGCAAAGCCCUCAGCUACACACAAAUCCAUAUGUACACAUGUAUAUAUUUAUGUAUAGUAUCUUUACUACAUACAUAUAUUUAAUUAGACUCGUAAGUGAUCGCCUGGUCGUCGACUUGGUUUAUAUUUCAGCCUUCUUGACUUUGUCGUCUGCAAAUUUAACGCAGCACAAUAAAAAUGUCAAACUACGUACACAACUUUGCGGACAAAAAAGAACAACCAAUGGCGCUGUAGGCAGGCAUGACUGACUAGAAUAUACCCUCUACUUAGCACAAUUACAAUUUAAGAAUACACAUAUUUUUUAAUAGAAUUUUUAUAAUAAUAUUGUAAAUAUAUAGAAAAAGUAAACACCACAACUAGCUAAAUCAUCA